rnacentral:rRNA from 1 species
UAUCUCUGUAGAGUCUGCAUAUCAAUAAGCGGAGGAAAAGAAACUAACAAGGAUUCCCUUAGUAACGGCGAGUGAAGCGGGAAGAGCUCAAAUUUGAAAUCUUCAAGGUUUUACCUUGACGAAUUGUAGUUUAUAAGAAGUGUUUUCUGUUGAAGUUUUCGGUAAAAGUUCUUUGGAAUAGGACAUCAUAGAGGGUGAGAAUCCCGUAUUUGACCAGUUACUUUCCAGCUGUGUGAUACACUUUCAAAGAGUCGGAUUGUUUGGGAAUGCAGUCCAAAAUGGGUGGUAAAUUUCAUCUAAAGCUAAAUAUUGGCGAGAGACCGAUAGCGAACAAGUACCGUGAGGGAAAGAUGAAAAGAACUUUGAAAAGAGAGUUAAACAGUACGUGAAAUUGUCAAAAGGGAAGCGUUUGACACCAGUGUUGUUUUCUCGAAAAUCAAUUUAAUGAGUUCUUGUUUUUAAGUUAUUGUGACUUUAUCAGCGCAUUUCUUAUUUUACUUGACUCAUUGAAUGCACUUUUCGUUUAACAAGUCAACAUCAAUUUCUUUGGUGGUAAAAAGUUUAAAGGAAGGUGGCUUGGACUUCGGUUCAAGUGUUUAUAGCCUUUUUUCUAUGCCAUCGGAGAGAUUGAGGUCUGCAGCGUAGAUCCUUCGGGGUUAGAUACCUUUGUGCUAAGUUAUAGUUUUUUAUAGACAACUUGUUGACUAUAAUUAACCCUGUAAUUUACUCGCUUAGGCUAUUUUACCUACGCUUAGGAUGUUGAGUCAUCACACAUCUCU